rnacentral:rRNA from 1 species
UACGUAGGGGGCAAGCGUUGUCCGGAAUCAUUGGGCGUAAAGAGCGUGUAGGCGGCUCGGUAAGUCCGCUGUGAAAGUCCAGGGCUCAACCCUGGAAUGCCGGUGGAAACUGUCGGGCUAGAGUCCGGAAGAGGCGAGUGGAAUUCCUGGUGUAGCGGUGAAAUGCGCAGAUAUCGGGAGGAACACCAAUGGCGAAGGCAGCUUGCUGAGACGGUACUGACGCUGAGACGCGAAAGCGUGGGGAGCAAACAGG